GCCGGAGUGGCGGAAUUGGCAGCCGCCAGGGACUUAAAAUCCCUAGAUACUUAGUAUCGUACCGGUUCAAGCCCGGUCUCCCGCA
rnacentral:tRNA from 1 species